CGCCCCAAUUUCCGGUAUCUCGGGAACUGAGGAUAAUACCCCAUAGGUUUCGGAUACUGGAAUGUUCUGAAGCCCAAAGCUCCGGCGUGAUAGGAUGGGUCUGCGGUUGAUUAGCCUGUAGGCGGUGUAACGGACCACCUAAGCUAUAAUCAAUAAGGGUCGUGAGAGCGAUAGCCCUGAGACGGAAUCUGAGACACUAUUCCGAGCCUUACGGGGUGCAGCAGGCGCGAAAACUUUGCAAUACACGAAAGUGUGACAAGGGGACUCCAAGUGUGCAUAUACCAUAUGCACUUUUUCGAAGUGCAAAAAGCUUUGGGAAUAAGGGGUGGGCAAGACUAGUGCCAGCCGCCGCGGUAAAACUAGCAUCCCAAGUGGCAGUCCCAUUUAUUGGGCUUAGAGCGUCCGUAGCUCGUUUGGCAAGUCCCUGGUGAAAUCCUGCGGCUUAACCGCAGGGCUUGCCGGGGAAACUACCAGACUCGAGGGCGGGAGAGGUCGGGGGUACGUCUGGGGUAGGGGUGAAAUCCUAUAAUCCUAGACGGACCAACAGUGGCGAAGGCGCCCGACAUGAACGCGCCUGACAGUGAGGGACGAGAGCCAGGGGCGCGAAACGGAUUAGAUACCCGUGUAGUCCUGGCCGUAAACGAUGCUGACUAGGUGGGGUGUGAUCUUAGUGAUCAUGCUAUGCCGAAGGGAAACCGUUAAGUCAGCCGCCUGGGGAGUACGUCCGCAAGGAUGAAACUUAAAGGAAUUGGCGGGGGAGCAC
rnacentral:rRNA from 1 species